rnacentral:rRNA from 1 species
UACGUAGGUGGCAAGCGUUGUCCGGAAUUAUUGGGCGUAAAGCGCGCGUAGGUGGGAUAGUAAGUCUACUUUAAAAGUGCGGGGCUCAACCCCGUGAUGGGGUGGAAACUGCUAUUCUUGAGUGCAGGAGAGGAAAGCGGAAUUCCCAGUGUAGCGGUGAAAUGCGUAGAUAUUGGGAGGAACACCAGUGGCGAAGGCGGCUUUCUGGACUGUGUCUGACACUGAGGCGCGAAAGCCAGGGGAGC